rfam:Pteropus alecto contig129332, whole genome shotgun sequence.
ACAAAGGCUCUUUUCAGAGCCAACACAUCUUCCCCAGAAGAGCAAGU